rnacentral:rRNA from 1 species
AGAGUUUGAUCCUGGCUCAGGAUAAACGCUGGCGGCGUGCAUGAGACAUGCAAGUCGAACGGACGACUCGGGCUUGCUCGGGUCGUUAGUGGCGGACGGCUGAGUAACGCGUAGGUGACCUGUCCCGAAGUGGGGAAUAACUGCCCGAAAGGGUGGCUAAUACCGCAUAUGUUCGUGCGUUCGUUUGUACGUACAAAGCCGUAAGGCGCUUCGGGAGGGGCCUGCGUCCGAUUAGCUCGUUGGUGGGGUAACGGCUCACCAAGGCUUCGAUCAGUAUCCGGCCUGAGAGGGCGGACGGACACACUGGGACUGAGACACGGCCCAGACUCCUACGGGAGGCAGCAGUGGGGAAUUGUUCGCAAUGGGCGCAAGCCUGACGACGCAACGCCGCGUGGAGGAUGAAGAUCUUCGGGUCGUAAACUCCUUUCGAUCGAGACGAACGGCUUCCGGGUGAACAAUCCGGGAGAGUGACGGUACCGAGAGAAGAAGCCCCGGCUAACUCCGUGCCAGCAGCCGCGGUAAUUC